rnacentral:lncRNA from 15 species
CCCUCCUCUGCAUCCCCGGUGUGUUUUCCUCCAGAGUUCAGGUGGUAUAUCAGCUGGUCUGGCCACUACCCCGGCCGGCAUUAGCGCGAUCAGCUGUUCUCGAGAGUAAACAAAGGCAGCGUGUUCCGGUGGAAGCGGCAUAAUAACAACAACACGUAGAAAAGCUAUGUGCGCAUGCGCGAAGGUUUUUAACUUUCUUAACUUUUAUUCUCUUUUGUUCGUUCUUGUUUCUUCACUGUAACUCUGUGAAGUCCUGUCCUCUCUAACGAGGUUGUUUUCAGAGAGUUUUCGUGCUUUUCUACGUGUUGUUUUUAUUAUGCCGCUUCCACCGGAACACGCCGCCUUUGUUUACUAGGUACAAGUGCCUACACUUUCAUCGUCUACCUUUCCAUGACCAUGAGAUACUGCAGUUGUGGCUAGUUGUUCUUCAGCUGGAUGUGCGAAUGUAGCAGUAUACAUGUGCUACCUGUCAUUCAGUGCUGUUGGGUAUUUAGCGCCACAGGUGGCCGUUAUGAGGUGGGCCAGUAUAAAAGCCACCACCCUUCCUGGCUAUUCCUUUUGCGCCUCUGUCGUCACCGGUGUGUCACUUCCGGGUCAUAGGUCGUUGACCCGACAGGGCAGCUGCUCGGUGUUUCCCAUAUGUGUGGCGUAGUUUGUGCGUGGUAAAUGCCAGCAGUGGCCGGUCUUCUCUCUCCCUCCCUCCUCCGGUGCGAAUGAGUGGUGUCCCUAAACAGGUAUGUGUGUUAGUAUAGUAAUCAACCGCAGUAUUUACGGUUAAAUGUAGUGACGCUAAUGGUAUGUAUUAGGUGUAACGUGCAAUCAGCUGAUUGGGGUCGCUGCUGCUUUGUCCUAUUUCAAAUGCUGCUGCUUUGCCUAGUCUCGACGCUGCUGGUCUGAGACGGUCUCCACGUCGCUUGGCUGCGGGGCUGCUCUUGCGCUCUGUUUGGCUUCAUCUGGCGGUCGCCGCGGCCUGGCGUCUGCGGCCAGAGCAGCUCUGUUAGACUCACGCCUGUGUGUUUUAACUGGGCCUGGCCUCCAUGUGUGCGUGUGUGAAUGAGUGUUGGGUUAUUUGAGUAAUUUUGUUAUUUUGGAUUGAUUACUUAUUUAAAUUUGUUUUGCUGUCUUUAGUUUACUUUCCCUUUCUUAAAGUGGGCAGUUAUUGAUAUUGGUUAAGAUUAUUUUCCCUUUUGUUUCAAUUUGUUUAUUUCUCUUUUUAGUUGCUGGAGACUGGUGGUGGCGGCGCUGGUGCCCGGGUGGUGGUAUCCCCUUCUGUCUGCUGGGUCCGGGGUAGCGGGUUUCACUUCACUGAGUGUGUGUCACGUAUGUCGGGUGUUUUUGAGUUGAUUUCUUAUUUUGGGUGAGUUCCCCCCCUCGCACUAAGCCCCUGUCCAUGCACUCGGCUCCAGCCCCCUCCUUUUUGUUUGAUUUCCCUGUUUAGAUUUGCUUUUGUAUGAAUGAAACUGAAAUCUUUUUAACUAACUAUUUAACAAUAAAAUUGUAUAUUUUUCUAUAAAUACCUGAACCACGUCUCAUGCCUUACUGAGUCAACUUACCUGUGUGCUUUCCAAAUUAAUUCUCUGGGUGAAAUUCCCAGGGUGGCGUUGUCGGUUCCCUUCCCUAAUUUGGUUGUUGGUCAAAUUAUUAGG